GCCUUCGUGGUGUAAUGGUAGCACAUUUGGCAUGUAUGCAAGAGGUCCAAGUUCGAGUCCCGGCGAGGGUA
rnacentral:tRNA from 1 species